rnacentral:rRNA from 1 species
UGGAACUUUUAUAAAAUAGUUUUAUCAGGUAAAGCGAAUGAUUAGAAGCUCUGGGGGAUGAAACAUCCUCGACUUAUUCUCAAACUUUAAAUAGGUAAGAAGAUUGCAGUACUUAACUGACUGUCAGUCUCUUGAAUAGUAAGUUCUUAGUGGGCCAUUUUUGGUAAGCAGAACUGGCGAUGUGGGAUGAACCAAACGUAAAGUUAAAGUGCCUAAAAAUACGUUCAUCAGAUACCACAAAAGGUGUUGAUUCAUCUUGACAGUUGGACAGUGGCCAUGGAAGUCGGAAUCUGCUAAGGAGUGUGUAACAACUCACCAACCGAAUGAAUUAGCCCUGAAAAUGGAUGGCGCUUAAACGUAUUACUUAUACUUUACCAUUAAAAUAAAUGCUAAACUUUAAUGAGUAGGAGGGCGUAUGGAUAAUUUAGAAGACUGAUAGUGAUAUUGGUUGGAAUUAUCUUUAGUGCAGAUCUUGGUGGUAGUAGCAAAUAUUCAAUAGAG